GAACGCUGGCGGCAGGCCUAACACAUGCAAGUCGAGCGGUAACAGAUCUAGCUUGCUAGAUGCUGACGAGCGGCGGACGGGUGAGUAAUGCAUAGGAAUCUGCCCGAUAGUGGGGGAUAACCUGGGGAAACCCAGGCUAAUACCGCAUACGUCCUACGGGAGAAAGGGGGGCUCCGGCUCCCGCUAUGGGAUGAGCCUAUGUCGGAUUAGCUAGUUGGUGAGGUAACGGCUCACCAAGGCGACGAUCCGUAGCUGGUCUGAGAGGAUGAUCAGCCACAUCGGGACUGAGACACGGCCCGAACUCCUACGGGAGGCAGCAGUGGGGAAUAUUGGACAAUGGGCGAAAGCCUGAUCCAGCCAUGCCGCGUGUGUGAAGAAGGCCCUCGGGUUGUAAAGCACUUUCAGCGAGGAAGAACGCCUAGCGGUUAAUACCCGCUAGGAAAGACAUCACUCGCAGAAGAAGCACCGGCUAACUCCGUGCCAGCAGCCGCGGUAAUACGGAGGGUGCAAGCGAUAAUCGGAAUUACUGGGCGUAAAGCGCGCGUAGGUGGCUUGAUAAGCCGGUUGUGAGAGCCCCGGGCUCAACCUGGGAACGGCAUCCGGAACUGUCAAGCUAGAGUGCAGGAGAGGAAGGUAGAAUUCCCGGUGUAGCGGUGAAAUGCGUAGAGAUCGGGAGGAAUACCAGUGGCGAAGGCGGCCUUCUGGACUGACACUGACACUGAGGUGCGAAAGCGUGGGUAGCAAACAGGAUUAGAUACCCUGGU
rnacentral:rRNA from 1 species